AUGAUCGUAAGUUGAAGAUGUGAUUUUUCACUUUCUCCUCCCCGGUGGUCUUUCUCCUUAGGGUUUUGGCUUGGCAUGCUGAUUUGCACCCUGAUCCCUUGCAUCUGCUCCGUCAUGUACAUUAUCCGGAUGAACUGGCACCAGGCGGCUGAGGAGGCCCAGCAUCGUGCCAAACUGUCACAGAAGCCAGUGGAGGAAUUGAACUCGGCUCCCAUCCCAGACAAGGCAGUUUCUUCUCCCGAUACGGAAGGCAAAGCAGGGUUUGGAGGACACACGGAUGCCCAGAAUGGUGUCGUGCUGCUGAGCUUCACCAUCAUAGAUGGCCCCACUUUGCAGGACAAGAAGGUGGCCGAUGUCCCCAAAAUGAGCCAAGUUUUGACGACCAAACAACUGAUCGUGAGACGGGGACUGGCGGUGACCAGCGCUGUGGGAAUUCUAGCCGUCGGAAUAUUGAUACGGAUAUUCACGGUGAACAAUUAG
rnacentral:lncRNA from 1 species